rnacentral:rRNA from 1 species
CCCUGACGCAGCCAUACCGCGUGGAUGAAGAAGGCCUUAGGGUCGUAAAGUCCUUUCAGCAAGGAAAAAAAUCUUGGCAUUAAUAGUGUCGGGACUUGAUGUUACUUGCAGAAGAAGCACCGGCUAACUCCGUGCCAGCAGCCGCGGUAAUA